rnacentral:rRNA from 1 species
AUUGAACGCUAGCGGGAUGCUUUACAUAUGCAAGUCGAACGGCAGCGCGGACUUCGGUCUGGCGGCGAGUGGCGAACGGGUGAGUAAUGUAUCGGAACGUGCCCAGUAGCGGGGGAUAACUACGCGAAAGCGUAGCUAAUACCGCAUACGCCCUACGGGGGAAAGUAGGGGAUCGUAAGACCUUGCACUAUUGGAGCGGCCGAUAUCGGAUUAGCUAGUUGGUGAGGUAACGGCUCACCAAGGCGACGAUCCGUAGCUGGUUUGAGAGGACGACCAGCCACACUGGGACUGAGACACGGCCCAGACUCCUACGGGAGGCAGCAGUGGGGAAUUUUGGACAAUGGGGGCAACCCUGAUCCAGCCAUCCCGCGUGUGCGAUGAAGGCCUUCGGGUUGUAAAGCACUUUUGGCAGGAAAGAAACGUCGCGGGCUAAUACCCCGUGGAACUGACGGUACCUGCAGAAUAAGCACCGGCUAACUACGUG